AUGUCCCACUCGUAAACUCCGGUUCCACGCAUUGUCCGCACCCACCUAACGACUGCUCACUAGGUGUUGUCAGCA
rnacentral:sRNA from 2 species